AACACCGACACGUUGAACGCAUAUGGCGCAUCGGACGUUUAAACCCGACCGAUGUACACAUUCUUGAGUGCCUAC
rnacentral:rRNA from 1 species